rnacentral:rRNA from 1 species
GUGGGGAAUAUUGGACAAUGGGCGAAAGCCUGAUCCAGCAAUGCCGCGUGAGUGAUGAAGGCCCUAGGGUUGUAAAGCUCUUUUACCAGGGAUGAUAAUGACAGUACCUGGAGAAUAAGCUCCGGCUAACUCCGUGCCAGCAGCCGCGGUAAUACGGAGGGAGCUAGCGUUGUUCGGAAUUACUGGGCGUAAAGCGCGCGUAGGCGGUUUUUUAAGUCAGAGGUGAAAGCCCGGGGCUCAACCCCGGAAUUGCCUUUGAAACUGGAAAACUUGAAUCUUGGAGAGGUCAGUGGAAUUCCGAGUGUAGAGGUGAAAUUCGUAGAUAUUCGGAAGAACACCAGUGGCGAAGGCGACUGACUGGACAAGUAUUGACGCUGAGGUGCGAAAGCGUGGGGAGCAAACAGGAUUAGAAACCCCAGUAGUCC